rnacentral:snRNA from 1 species
UACUAAAGAUUUCCGUGGAGAGGAACAAUUCUGAGUUAUUACUCAAUUUUUUGAGGUCUUGCAUUCGCAGGACU